AACAAUUUUAGUUGUCCAGUGUUUGAUUUGUAAAACUGUUUCAAGUACAGGACAAACUGGAGGCAAGGGACAGGACAA
rfam:Medicago truncatula strain A17 chromosome 2, whole genome shotgun sequence.